UGACCCCGAGACCGAUAGCAAACAAGUACCGUGAGGGAAAAUUGAAAAGAACUUUGAAGAGAGAGUUCAAUAGUACGUGAAACUGUGUGGUGGUAAACGGAGGGGUUCUCGAAGUUUCUGCGUGGAACUCAACCUUGGUGUCGGGCGGUCCUGGUGUAUCUGAUCAGCAAUGACUGUGCGCUUGGUUCGGCUUGGCUCCCGGGUGCAUUUUCCAAGCAGUUUACGGCAGGAACCGUUUGGCUCGGACCAAAGGCCUCGGGCGAAGUUGUAGGUAUUUUGCUUGCAGCCCCGGGUGUCCUGGCUCUGCGCUCGACGGGUACGUGAGAGGACUCGUAUAGCGAGCAACGCUCUGUUGCGGUUCUCAUCUCUCUGCCGAGUAGGUCGGCGGCCCCUCCGACCCGUCUUGAAACACGGACCAAGGAGUCUAACAUGUAUGCGAGCCAUUGGGUUGACUAAACCUAGAGGCGCAGUGAAAGCAAAGAGUAGCUUGUCUGCUCGAGGGACGAUCCGCAAGGCGCAGUCCCGUGACAUCCAAUCAACCUCGCAUUGUUGGGUGUACACAGAGUAUAAAUGUUGGGACCCGAAAGAUGGUGAACUAUGCCUGGCCAGGUUGAAGUCAGGGGAAACCCUGAUGGAGGACCGUAGCGAUUCUGACGUGCAAAUCGAUCGUCGGAGCUGGGUAUAGGGGCGAAAGACUAAUCGAACCAUCUAGUAGCUGGUUCCUGCCGAAGUUUCCCUCAGGAUAGCUGGUGCUCGUAAACGAGUUUCAUCCGGUAAAGCGAAUGAUUAGAAGCAUUGGGGGCGAAACGCCCUCAACUUAUUCUCAAACUUUAAAUGGGUGAGAAGUCCGUCUUGCUUGAGUGAAGUCGGACACUGAAUCGGAGUGCCAAGUGGGCCAUUUUUGGUAAGCAGAACUGGCGCUGUGGGAUGAACCAAACGCGGGGUUAAAGUGCCAAAGUAGAAGCUCAUCAGAUCCCACGAAAGGUGUUGGUUGCUUAAGACAGCAGGACGGUGGCCAUGGAAGUCGGAAUCCGCUAAGGAAUGUGUAACAACUCACCUGCCGAAGCAACUAGCCCUGAAAAUGGAUGGCGCUAAAGCUUCUCACUUAUACCCCGCCGUUCAGAUAGAGCCGGGCUUUAAGCCCCUGACAUCUGAACGAGUAGGAAGGUCGCAGGGAUGGCGCCGAAGCCUCUGGGUGUGAACCUGGGUGGAGCCGUCCCUGGUGCAGAUCUUGGUGGUAGUAGCAAAUACUCCAGAGAGGCCCUGGAGGACCGAUGUGGAGAAGGGUUUCGUGUGAACAGCUGUUGAACACGAGUCAGUCGAUCCUAAGGCUUAGUGGAAGCACGAAAUGACCGUGUGGUGUUUUCUAGAGUGAAAACCACAGUCGUAGCCGAAAGGGAAUGAGGUCCUUAUUCCUCAACCUGGUAGCCGAACCGUUCAGGCCCUCGUACCUGACGUGGCAACACGAAAUGAGUCUGAGACGUCCGCCGGAGCUCUGGGAAGAGUUGUCUUUUCUGCAUAAGCCACCGAGGCCCUGGAAACCUCUCGCAGGGAGAAUGGGUUUUGGUCUAGGCGAAGAGCGCAGCAGUUCUCGCUGUGUCCACGAGUGCCCGGCGGAACCUUGAAAAUCAGACUGAGGGACACGGCGGAGUGGCACCAGCUCGUACCCAUAUCCGCAGCAGGUCUCCUAGGUGAAAAGCCUCUGGUCGAUAGAAUAAUGUAGGUAAGGGAAGUCGGCAAAUUGGAUCCGUAACUUCGGGAUAAGGAUUGGCUCUGAGGGGCGGGAUGUUUGGGCUCUGUGGUGGAAGCAGGUUGUCUAACGGCGGGUCUGGGCGUGCUCUCGGGCUAACUCGGCCCCGUUUCACAGGCUCCUGUGGAUACCCAUUGCUUCGCGGGUCCGGGAAACCGGUGUCCUGUUCAAGCAUCGAUCAACGCCUUGCUCAGAACUGGCACGGACUAGGGGAAUCCGACUGUCUAAUUAAAACAAAGCAUUGCGAUGGUCAGAGAGUGAUGUUGACGCAAUGUGAUUUCUGCCCAGUGCUUUGAAUGUCAAAGUGAAGAGGUUCACCCAAGCGCAGGUAAACGGCGGGAGUAACUAUGACUCUCUUAAGGUAGCCAAAUGCCUCGUCGUCUAAUUAGCGACGCGCAUGAAUGGAUUAACGAGAUUCCCACUGUCCCUAUCUACUAUCUAGCGAAACCGCAGCCAAGGGAACGGACUUGGGAAAGUCAGCGGGGAAAGAAGACCCUGUUGAGUUUGACUCUAGUCUCCUUUUGUGGCGGAGCAUUUCUGGCGUAGAAUAGGGAGGAGGCUUCGGCCGUCAGUGAAAUACUCCUACGGAGAUCGCUCCUCUGCUUACUCGGUUAGGCGAAGUUAGGCCUUUCGGGGCCUAUUUCUAGAAUCAAACGGGCGGGCUUUGUUCUCGCCUGUGAUUCGCUCCGAGGACAUUGCGAGGCGGGGAGUUUGACUGGGG
rnacentral:rRNA from 1 species